rnacentral:rRNA from 1 species
GAGUUUGAUCUUGGCUCAGGAUGAACGCUGGCGGCGUGCCUAAUACAUGCAAGUCGAGCGGUAAGGCUUUACACCUAGUAUUUGAUCAAUUGAUCUCAGGUCAAUAUCGAAUAAUAGGUGUAGAGUACACGAGCGGCGGACGGGUGAGUAACACGUGGGAAUCUACCCCAAACUGAGGGAUAAGCAUCGGAAACGGUGUCUAAUACCGCAUAUGGUCUUCGGAUUAAAGCUUCGGCGGUUUGGGAAGAGCCCGCGCAAGAUUAGCUAGUUGGUGAGGUAAUGGCUCACCAAGGCGACGAUCUUUAACUGGUUUGAGAGGAUGAUCAGUCACACUGGAACUGAGACACGGUCCAGACUCCUACGGGAGCAGCAGUAAGGAUUUCCACAAUGGGCGAAAGCCUGAUGGAGCAACGCCGCGUGCAGGAUGAAGGCCCUAGGGUUGUAAACUGCUUUUAUAUGUGACGAAUAUGACGGUAGCAUAUGAAUAAGGAUCGGCUAACUCCGU